GGAUGUGAUGGGGAGCGAAAUUUAGUAGCGAAGUAGCUGAUUUCACACUGUCAAGAAAAGUCUCUAUCGAGGUUAAAGGUACCCGUACCGCAAACCGACACAGGUGGGUGAGGAGAGUAUCCUAAGGCCAGCGAGAGAACUGUUGUUAAGGAACUCGGCAAAAUGACCCCGUAACUUAGGGAUAAGGGGUGCCACCAUCAGGUGGCCGCAGAGAAUAGGCCCAAGCGACUGUUUACCAAAAACAUAGGUUUCUGCUAAGUCGCAAGACGAUGUAUAGGAGCUGACGCCUGCCCGGUGCUGGAAGGUUAAGGGGAUCUGUUAGAGCAAUCGAAGCAGUGAACUUAAGCCCCAGUAAACGGCGGCCGUAACUAUAACGGUCCUAAGGUAGCGAAAUUCCUUGUCGGGUAAGUUCCGACCCGCACGAAAGGCGUAACGAUUUGGGCACUGUCUCAACAACAGACUCGGUGAAAUUGUAAUUCCGGUGAAGAUGCCGGAUACCUGCGACAGGACGGAAAGACCCCAUGGAGCUUUACUGUAGCUUGACAUUGGGUCUUGGUACUACAUGUACAGGAUAGGUGGGAGGCUUUGAAACCAGGACGCCAGUUUUGGCGGAGCCAUCCUUGGGAUACCACCCUUGUAGUACUGGGACUCUAACCAUAGGCCAUGAAUCUGGUCUUGGGACACUGUCAGGUGGGCAGUUUGACUGGGGCGGUCGCCUCCCAAAAGGUAACGGAGGCGCUCAAAGGUUCUCUCAGUACGGUCGGAAAUCGUACGUAGAGUGUAAAGGC
rnacentral:rRNA from 1 species